GACAUAGCGCAGCCUGGUAGCGCGCCUCGUUCGAGACGAGGAGGUUGGAGGUUCAAAUCCUCUCGUCACCA
rnacentral:tRNA from 1 species